GAUGAACGCUAGCUACAGGCUUAACACAUGCAAGUUCGAGGGGCAGCAUUUCAGUUUGCUUGCAAACUGGAGAUGGCGACCGGCGCACGGGUGAGUAACACGUAUCCAACCUGCCGAUAACUCGGGGAUAGCCUUUCGAAAGAAAGAUUAAUACCCGAUGGUAUAAUCAGACCGCAUGGUCUUGUUAUUAAAGAAUUUCGGUUAUCGAUGGGGAUGCGUUCCAUUAGGCAGUUGGUGAGGUAACGGCUCACCAAACCUUCGAUGGAUAGGGGUUCUGAGAGGAAGGUCCCCCACAUUGGAACUGAGACACGGUCCAAACUCCUACGGGAGGCAGCAGUGAGGAAUAUUGGUCAAUGGGCGCAGGCCUGAACCAGCCAAGUAGCGUGAAGGAUGACUGCCCUAUGGGUUGUAAACUUCUUUUAUAUGGGAAUAAAGUUUUCCACGUGUGGAAUUUUGUAUGUACCAUAUGAAUAAGGAUCGGCUAACUCCGUGCCAGCAGCCGCGGUAAUACGGAGGAUCCGAGCGUUAUCCGGAUUUAUUGGGUUUAAAGGGAGCGUAGGUGGACAGUUAAGUCAGUUGUGAAAGUUUGCGGCUCAACCGUAAAAUUGCAGUUGAUACUGGCUGUCUUGAGUACAGUAGAGGUGGGCGGAAUUCGUGGUGUAGCGGUGAAAUGCUUAGAUAUCACGAAGAACUCCGAUUGCGAAGGCAGCUCACUGGACUGCAACUGACACUGAUGCUCGAAAGUGUGGGUAUCAAACAGGAUUAGAUACCCUGGUAGUCCACACAGUAAACGAUGAAUACUCGCUGUUUGCGAUAUACAGUAAGCGGCCAAGCGAAAGCAUUAAGUAUUCCACCUGGGGAGUACGCCGGCAACGGUGAAACUCAAAGGAAUUGACGGGGGCCCGCACAAGCGGAGGAACAUGUGGUUUAAUUCGAUGAUACGCGAGGAACCUUACCCGGGCUUAAAUUGCAUUUGAAUAUAUUGGAAACAGUAUAGCCGUAAGGCAAAUGUGAAGGUGCUGCAUGGUUGUCGUCAGCUCGUGCCGUGAGGUGUCGGCUUAAGUGCCAUAACGAGCGCAACCCUUAUCUUUAGUUACUAACAGGUCAUGCUGAGGACUCUAGAGAGACUGCCGUCGUAAGAUGUGAGGAAGGUGGGGAUGACGUCAAAUCAGCACGGCCCUUACGUCCGGGGCUACACACGUGUUACAAUGGGGGGUACAGAAGGCAGCUACCUGGUGACAGGAUGCUAAUCCCAAAAGCCUCUCUCAGUUCGGAUCGAAGUCUGCAACCCGACUUCGUGAAGCUGGAUUCGCUAGUAAUCGCGCAUCAGCCAUGGCGCGGUGAAUACGUUCCCGGGCCU
rnacentral:rRNA from 1 species